CUCAGGGCUGUCAAGGAAUUUCCUAGGAGAUUAGAAACAGUAAGUCUAUUGUUAUUAAUGCUAGUAAACAGAAAACUCUGUGAAAUCAACAAUGAACUGUCCAAUAUAAUAAUUGGACAGUAAAUUGGACAGUAAAAAUAUUUAUCUCGGAGACAACAUUGAAUGUUGAUUUUUGAAUGAGGAAGGUUCACACAUGCGCAGUGGUUGUAGCAGUAGCACUUUGCUUCUCCCAACUGUCACUGCCGCACAUGGCGCGAAAACCGGAGAAGAAUGGAGGUUUCAGCUGCUCCAGAAGUUAUAGGAUUCAGGAAUUAUACUGACUGAAGAAGAGACAAAGAGAUUCAGAGAUUUACAUUUUCUCACACUCUACAUUGUCACCUGGAGUCAGCUCUGUAACCGUGGCCCCAAGUUUUUGUGAUUUACAUUUUCUCACACUACAUUGUCACCUGGAGUCAGCUCUGUAACCGUGGGCCCAAGUUUUUGUGAUUUACAUUUUCUCACACUACAUUGUCACCUGGAGUCAGCUCUGUAACCGUGGGCCCAAGUUUUUGUGGAAAUGGCUGAGACCGAUUUCCUCAGUGCCAUGGAGAGAACGACAGUGGGGAUCUAUGUUGUGAAAGACACUGCCAGCAGUGAACCCUCUGAUGUCAGGAUAGUCCUCGAAGGUGUGAUGGUGCUUCAAGAUCUUGAGAAUGUAGCACUUGCUUCUGCAAUGUUGUUUGGGCUCUUAUGCCUUGAACAUGCAGCACCCUACAAAGCUCCGCUACACCUUUGAGGCAUUUCAAAAGAUCAUCAUGGAGCCUCAGCAUCAGACACUUAAUAAUAUGAGCCUGUCAGCUGCAAAAACAGAACUUUUAGUGACACUAACUGACCAUGCACAGUUGCCCUAUAUAACGUUGCAGCCCGGUUCACAGCAAUCUUGCUCAAUGCUGGACCAAUUUUCAUGAAUUAACCACUAGAUAGCCUAAAUUUAUAUUGAUUGGCUGUAAAUGUAGCUGUUUUUUAAGUAUGCUUGUUUUUCCACUGUCCAAUUAACAUUUUUAUAUCUAUAAUUUCUUUAAAUUGACUGAUUAAUACUGUAAAUGUGCUGACAUUCCUUUUUGAUUAAAAGUACAUAUUCAGUA